rnacentral:lncRNA from 1 species
UUUGUAUCUUUAGACCAACAUCUCUCCGUCUACCCUCCCCAGGAGAUAGAAAUUCCUUAUCCACAAGGAUGGAGACAAUGUUGGUCAACCCACUUUCAUUUACUUAACAUUACUUUUAUUCUAGGUGUGGCAUCUGGCAUGAAACCAAGGACAAGACACUCAGUUGAGCUUUGUGAAAGAGUGACAGAUGAUGGAUAGAGUCAUGGGCCUGCCUCUUAUGGAGCUAAGAAAUGAAAUCUGGAUACGGCCCAGGCUGGAAUACAGUGGCACACUCUUGACUCCCUG